rnacentral:rRNA from 1 species
UAGGGAAUCUUCGGCAAUGGACGAAAGUCUGACCGAGCAACGCCGCGUGAGUGAAGAAGGUUUUCGGAUCGUAAAACUCUGUUGUUAGAGAAGAACAAGGACGUUAGUAACUGAACGUCCCCUGACGGUAUCUAACCAGAAAGCCACGGCUAACUACGUGCCAGCAGCCGCGGUAAUACGUAGGUGGCAUGCGUUGUCCGGAUUUAUUGGGCGUAAAGCGAGCGCAGGCGGUUUCUUAAGUCUGAUGUGAAAGCCCCCGGCUCAACCGGAGAGGGUAAUUGGAAACUGGGAGACUUGAGUGCAGAAGAGGAGAGUGGAAUUCCAUGUGUAGCGGUAAAAUGCGUAGAUAUAUGGAGGAACACCAGUGGCAAAGGCGGCUAUCUGGUCUGUAACUGACGCUGAGGCAAGAAAGCGUGGGGAGCAAACAGG